rnacentral:rRNA from 1 species
CAGUAGCCGCGGUAAUACGUAGGGUGCGAGCGUUAAUCGGAAUUACUGGGCGUAAAGCGUGCACAGGCGGUUUGUUAAGUCAGAUGUAAAAUCCCCGAGCUUAACUUGGGAACUGCAUUUGAAACUGGCAAGCUAGAGUCUUGUAGAGGGGGGUAGAAUUCCAGGUGUAGCGGUGAAAUGCGUAGAGAUCUGGAGGAAUACCGGUGGCGAAGGCGGCCCCCUGGACAAAGACUGACGCUCAGGUGCGAAAGCGUGGGGAGCAAACAGGAUUAGAUACCCCUGUAGUCCCUGUCUCUUAUAC